GACGAACGCUGGCGGCGUGCUUAGCACAUGCAAGUCGAACGGAAAGGCCUUUUCGGAGGUACUCGAGUGGCGAACGGGUGAGUAACACGUGGGUGAUCUGCCCUGCACUCUGGGAUAAGCCUGGGGAACUGGGUCUAAUACCGGAUAGGACCGCACUUUAGUGUGUGUGGUGGAAAGUUUUUUCGGUGUAGGAUGAGCCCGCGGCCUAUCAGCUUGUUGGUGGGGUAAUGGCCUACCAAGGCGGCGACGGGUAGCCGGACUGAGAGGUUGGUCGGCCACAUUGGGACUGAGAUACGGCCCAGACUCCUACGGGAGGCAGCAGUGGGGAAUAUUGCACAAUGGGCGCAAGCCUGAUGCAGCGACGCCGCGUGGGGGAUGACGGCCUUCGGGUUGUAAACUCCUUUCGCCAGGGACGAAGCGUUUUGUGACGGUACCUGGAGAAGAAGCACCGGCUAACUACGUG
rnacentral:rRNA from 1 species